UACGUAGGGUGCGAGCGUUGUCCGGAAUUAUUGGGCGUAAAGAGCUUGUAGGUGGCUCGUUGCGUCGGGAGUGAAAACCUGCGGCUUAACCGCAGGCCUGCUUCCGAUACGGGCGAGCUAGAGUUCGGGCAGGGGAGACUGGAAUUCCUGGUGUAGCGGGUGGAAUGCGCAGAUAUCAGGAGGAACACCGGUGGCGAAGGCGGGUCUCUGGGCCGAUACUGACACUGAGAAGCGAAAGCGUGGGGAGCGAACAGG
rnacentral:rRNA from 1 species